rnacentral:lncRNA from 1 species
AAAAAUACCGUUGUUUUUCUUAAGGAGUUUACAGAUUGUCUUAGAAGAACAGCUAUUGAUAAUUAACAAAUAUUUGUUGAAUAAAGGAAUGAAGCGUUGUGACUAUUAUACUGUCUGAGAAAGACAUUUACCUAGCCUCCUAAAUCUCCUAGUCCAGUUGGUGAGGAAACCUAGAAUGUGCGAAUUCACAAAGAUCUGAGAUAGCCUGAUGUGUUAAGGGAUUUAUAGGUAGUUCCAUACUUCGAGGGUGAAAGAGGUGACAAAGAAUGUACCUGGACACAUUGAGAAAACAGAGAGUGAUUUUUUUCAUAUAACCAGAAUUAAUAAAUUUCUGCAGGGCCCUGAAGUGUGAUAUGUGGGAGGCAUGAGAAAUAGAAGAAAUUGCUGUGGAACCCUACUCUCAAGGUGAUAGUCUGCUUCUGGAGAGAAAAACAACUAAGGCAUAUAAAUAAUAAUAUGCAUGUGUGGCCCAAACUGAAAGUUUGAGUCCUGAAGAUGUAUGAGUAAGGGUGUGAUCAGUAGAAAAGUUGAAGAAAGUGAUUCAGAACUCUUUCAAGAACUAAAGAGAAGGUGAAACUCCAUGCAGAGAAGAAUGAGAUGGUAAUUUGGAGAGGCAAUGAUAGGCUGAUACCAAGCCUUAGAUGUUUUCAAGGGUGGAGCCUCAGAGUAUACACGUUGGACAUUGCAUUCCACAAUCCUGCCAAUAAGUCAAAAGUGGCCGUCAGCCUAACACUUGGGCCCUGUAGAAGAAACUUCUGUCCAAAGCGGUUGCAGUUCUGCCCAGCCUGCCAUCACCGGGCCGUGUGGUUAUCCUGCCCAGACCUCCACAACUGGUCUCUUUUCCCUGUAUGUAAGCCCCCACUAAAACCCUAGGUCUCAUUUGCUGGAUCUGGGUCUCUUCUUUGGCCUCUUGAACCUGGUGCCAUCCACAUUGGAGUUGAUAGGGGUUUGCCACAGCAGUGGGGAGAGUAUUGAAAUGCAGCCUUCUAGAACCCAUCACCAAAGAUACCCAUUCAGUUUCUCUAGAGUGUGAACACUAAUCUGCAUUUUCAACAAGCAGGUUCUUGUGAUGAGGCAAAUUAGGAAAAUGCUGAAAAUGCGCCCAUUGCACAGAUCAGGAAUUUAAAUCCAGAGAUUCCUAGCUGACCAUAUGUGCAUACAAACAUAGAAAAUGACCCUAUUUUAAACAAGACUAUAACUUUCUAUUUGCCUUUUUGUCCAAAACUAGGAAAGAGUAUGUUGUGCCUGUGUAAGCCUCUCUUUUGUCUGAGAGCUGCUGCUGUGACUUAGGACCUUGCUAUUCAAUGUUUGGUCCACAGACUAGCUACCAACCACAUAGGCAUCAUUAGGGAGCCCAUUAGAAAUGUAGAAGCUCAGGCUCCACUCUGCACCUAGUGAAUCAGAAUCUGCACUUUUACAAAAUCCACAGGUGAUUCACAUGUACAUUGAUGUUUGAGAAACACUGGUCUUGGGGAAAGAACACUGGUUCUGCCCCUAAGUAUACCCACCUGGGAGGUACUGUGUAGUGCUGAGAUGAGUAUGUGUUUUGAAAUGAAAUGGUGCUGUGUUAAAACCCCUGAAGUGCUCCUUAUUAGCUAUGUGACUUUGACCAUGGCACUUCCCCUCUCAGUAUUGUUUUCACAUCUGUAAUGGAGAAAGAAUAACACCUGCCUGCCAGUGAUGAUAGGAAUUUCUGUGGGAUAAUUCAUGUAAAAUGUCUGGCAGAUAUUAGUUGUACAAUAAACACUCAUGCUCCUUCCUUGCCUCGGUUUCCUCAAGUGUAAAAUGAGGGGAAGGAUAACAACACCCACACAGCCUCUACCACAAAGUUAUCAUGAGGAAUGUCUACAUGAAAAUGAUCUGCAAACCACUAUCCUUAUACAAAUGUAAGGUGACAUCACUACUAGUUCUGAAAGUGUAUAAAGUCCCCAACAGUUAUUCAUGAGAACCAGAAAAUACCAGAGUAAUCCUCCUGACAGGCUCUACAAAACAUGUUUUGAUUUGUUGAGAGUGUGGAAUACAGACAGUCAAUACCAGUGACAUUCGUGAACCAGCAUGUUUGAAAAAGUGUGUGUGUGAAAGUCAACUUUGUUAUAACCCUCUCACUUGCUAGUUAUUCCAGUUACUACCUGGCAUUAGCUAGAUUUUUGCCUGAUGUUAGUUAGCUUUUGCAUUUUGGCCAAAGUCGAUCUGGAUACAGAAUACAGAGAAAAUGAUGCCACUUUCCAAGAGGCUCAGUCUUACCAUCAGAGAUAGAAGAAUAAAGAGGCAGCACCUGGGAAGAAGAGAAGGCGAUAGAAAUAAAAGCCUCCAGCAGCUGGCAAUAAUAAUAAAAACACUACCUGAGGUAUUUAUAUAUACUUAGCAUCAGUACACAAUUCCCAGCCCACCUUCCUCUAUCACCAAGGCAACGUGGACGGGACAGAGAGCAGCUUAGUGUCUCCAGGAAAUGCUUGAGAGGAUCUUUUAUGUACCCAGGAGUUAACUGCUAGUCAUUUAAGAGUAAUAUUCUGAAGCCAUCAAGGUAAUUAAAGCAACUGUAUUUCACCCAUGCCCUGAGGGGUGCAAGGUACUUAAGAGGAAAAUGUGUGGAUGUUGCCUCCAGCAUGCACAGGACGGCCUUAUAAGUAGAUCUGAAUGCCAGCCUAUAACCCAUUCACUAACAGAAACUCUCUCAUUUCAGCCUCAAGUGCAUAGGCUUGUCAGUGGGAUGGUUUUCUACAUCCUAGUUCAUCAGCUCCAUUGAACUGUGGAGACACUUUUACUUCCAAAAUAACCUUACAAACACCUGGCCCUGAAGGCACAGUUUGGAAAGGGAAAUUGAUUUCAAUUUUCAAGUGUAAUGGCUAAAGGUUGUCAAUGUACUGUAAGGGUGCAGGAUGAUGUCAUUUUGGGACACACCCUGGCUUCCAGGGCCAUGUGCAAAGCAUGCUUAAUUGGAUGCUGCAAAUAAUAUUCUACUACAGGAGAGGUUCCAAAUUGUAGAGGUGUCCUGAAGACAUUUAAUGCAGUUUUGUAUACUGAAAAAUUAUCACUCACUUUCAUUUGAAGCAACUGGGCUUGAAAAUGUCUAGUCAUGGUUGAGGGGCAAGAUGGCCGAACAGGAACAGCUCUGGUCUGCAGCUCCCAGUGAGACCAAUG